rnacentral:rRNA from 1 species
UGUGUAGGCGGCUCUCUAAGUUUGGUGUGAAAUCUCCCGGCUCAACCGGGAGGGUGCGCCGAAAACUGGGGGGGCUAGAGUGCGGGAUGGGAGAGUAGAAUUCCUGGUGUAGCGGUGAAAUGCGUAGAUAUCAGGAGGAAUACCGGUGGUGUAGACGGCUCUCUGGACCGCAACUGACGCUGAAACACGAAAGCGUGGGUAGCAAACAGGAUUAGAUACCCUGGUAGUCCACGCCCUAAACGAUGCAUAUUUGGUGUAGGUCAUUCAGUUGAUCUGUGCCGGAGCUAACGCGUUAAAUAUGCCGCCUGGGGAGUACAGUCGCAAGGCUGAA